CCUACGGGUGGCAGCAGUGGGGAAUAUUGCACAAUGGGGGAAACCCUGAUGCAGCGACGCCGCGUGAGUGAAGAAGUAUUUCGGUACGUAAAGCUCUAUCAGCAGGGAAGAAAAUGACGGUACCUGACUAAGAAGCCCCGGCUAACUACGUGCCAGCAGCCGCGGUAAUACGGAGGAUGCGAGCGUUACCCGGAUUUAUUGGGUUUAAAGGGUGCGCAGGCGGAGGUGCAAGUCAGCGUUCAAAUUGCGGGGCUCAACCCCGUACUGCCGUGGAAACUGCAUCCCUUGAGUGCGCGAGAGGUAUGCGGAAUGCGUGGUGUAGCGGUGAAAUGCGUAGAUAUCGCGCAGAACACCGAUUGCGAAGGCAGCAUGCCGGCUCCACACUGACGCUGAGGCACGAAAGCGUGGGUAUCGAACAGGAUUAGAUACCCGAGUAGUC
rnacentral:rRNA from 1 species